GAUGAAGAACGCAGCGAAAUGCGAUACGUAAUGUGAAUUGCAGAAUUCAGUGAAUCAUCGAGUCUUUGAACGCACAUUGCGCCCCCUGGUAUUCCGGGGGGCAUGCCUGUCCGAGCGUCAUUGCUGCCCCCAAGCACGGCUUGUGUGUUGGGCCUCCGUCCUCCUCCCGGGGGACGGGCCCGAAAGGCAGCGGCGGCACCGCGUCCGGUCCUCGAGCGUAUGGGGCUUCGUCACCCGCUCUUGUAGGCCCGGCCGGCGCUUGCCGACACAUCAAUCUUUUUUCCAGGUUGACCUCGGAUCAGGUAGGGAUACCCGCUGAACUUAAGCAUAUCAAUAAGCGGAGGA
rnacentral:misc_RNA from 1 species